rnacentral:misc_RNA from 1 species
AGUGAGGCUCCAAGUCAUGUGCUUUACGAGCCUUAUGGAAUUAACUUAAUAGAAUCAGUUGAAAUUGGUGCCUUAAUUCAUUCUACCAUCCGUCUCCCCAGAGACUUGAAAUGGCCAAACCCCCCUUUUCCUCUUCUUGCUUCAGUUUAUUUUCCUCCUCUUCAUCAUCAUUUUGUUCUGUAUUCAUUCUUCUCUGACAGGUUUCUUCAUUGUUCCUUGUUCUCCUCCAUUUUUGUCCUAAGUGCUCUGAUGUCCCCAUCCCCCUUUUCUCUUAAUCUCUUUAUCAUUCUUGUUGCCUCCUGCACUAUGUUUUCUUUUUUGCUUAGUUUAUUAUCUUUUUGCAACCUGUUUGCCACCUGCAUGAUUUGCUUCCUUUUCUAAUUUUCUUUUUGAUGAAACAGGUAUAAUUUCUUAAGUGUAACAUAAUUUGUAAUGCCUGCUUGUUCAAACAGUAUGCUCGAGUGCUCAUGGAUGAAAUUUGUAAUUGCAAAAAACAGAUCACAAAUCAGAAAAUUUUAAUCAACAAUAAAGUGGUAAUUAUGUUAAACGGUUUAGUUUCAGUUACUUUGAUCACAAAUCAGAAAAUUUUAAUCAACAAUAAAGUGGUAAUUAUGUUAAACGGUUUAGUUUCAGUUACUUUGAUCACAAAUCAGAAAAUUUUAAUCAACAAUAAAGUGGUAAUUAUGUUAAACGGUUUAGUUUCAGUUACUUU